rnacentral:rRNA from 1 species
UACGUAGGUGGCAAGCGUUGUUCGGAAUUACUGGGCGUAAAGGGCGCGUAGGCGGUCUUGCAAGUCCUGUGUGAAAUCCCUCGGCUCAACUGAGGAACUGCACAGGAAACUGCUUGGCUUGAGUUCGGGAGAGGGAAGCGGAAUUCCGGGUGUAGCGGUGAAAUGCGUAGAUAUCCGGAGGAACACCGGUGGCGAAGGCGGCUUCCUGGACCGACACUGACGCUGAGGCGCGAAAGCUAGGGGAGCAAACGGG